GACGAACGCUGGCGGCGUGCUUAACACAUGCAAGUCGAGCGGUAAGGCCCUUUCGGGGGUACACGAGCGGCGAACGGGUGAGUAACACGUGGGUGACCUGCCCUCAGCUCUGGGAUAAGCCUGGGAAACCGGGUCUAAUACUGGAUAUGACUCCAUGACGCAUGUUGUGGGGUGGAAAGCCUUGUGCGGCUGAGGAUGGGCCCGCGGCCUAUCAGCUUGUUGGUGGGGUGANGGCCUACCAAGGCGACGACGGGUAGCCGGCCUGAGAGGGCGACCGGCCACACUGGGACUGAGACACCGGCCAGACUCCUACGGGAGGCAGCAGUGGGGAAUCUUGCGCAAUGGGCGAAAGCCUGACGCAGCGACGCCGCGUGAGGGAUGACGGCC
rnacentral:rRNA from 1 species